GUAUAUGCUGAAAUAAAAACAAGAUCAGUGGGCAGCUGAAGCAUGCAUAAAACACCAAGUGGUCAGGCAAAAUAUAUACAAUAUAAUGUAAUCAGCAAAUUUAUACUUGCACUUGUACACAGGAACAGUUUAAUCUAGAAUACAUAAAAACAAGAACCUAGUGCAACAGUAUAAAGUCUUUUGUAGAGUAUAUGAUAAGUAUAAAACUCACAAUUGUGGAGUGGUUGAAGUACCACUCCAAACUAUCAGGCUCUGGGAGGAUCAGCCCCUGGAGAACGUAGGAUCCAAGUGCAGUGUGCUUGAUGAACU